UACGUAGGGUGCGAGCGUUGUCCGGAAUUAUUGGGCGUAAAGAGCUCGUAGGCGGUGUGUCGCGUCGGUCGUGAAAACUUUCAGCUUAACUGGGAGCUUGCGGUCGAUACGGGCAUCACUGGAGUUCGGCAGGGGAGACUGGAAUUCCUGGUGUAGCGGUGAAAUGCGCAGAUAUCAGGAGGAACACCGGUGGCGAAGGCGGGUCUCUGGGCCGAUACUGACGCUGAGACGCGAAAGCGUGGGGAGCGAACAGG
rnacentral:rRNA from 1 species